rnacentral:lncRNA from 1 species
GUGCCUACACUGGUACCAUGUUAAAUUACAUAAAGUGCUUCAUCCAAAAAUUUAAACCACUAAACAGGAGUAAACCUUUUAUUCAUUCACUUACCUCUGCAACAAAAUACACAUAAAAAGUGCCAAAACAAACACAUGAAUUAGUUGAUUAAAAAAAAGGACAGCCAAGUGCACAAGGCAUCCCGCGUUCACGCAGCGUUCGGAAAAGGGCCGCAUCUUAAGUGGUGUGAUUUAGACAGCCUACCAUAGUGCAAGCAUUAGUGGCUGCUUCAACGGCCCAAACCCAUAACCUAUAGGUCAGAUAUAGAUAAUAAGCAAAAAAAUAUAGUCUGAUGUACUAAGCUCCCACUAUGCGCAAGUUCCGGGGAAGAGUCGGACCACAAGGGUCUAUUGUAUGCAGUCUUACCCUGCAUUUCUGCACGGCUCGAACCCAUGACUUCCUGGGCGCAUGACAACAACUUUACCGGUUACGUCAAGGUUACUCUUCUUCGCAAAAAUAAAUAAAUAAAUACCACAACCAAAAAUCAAAACUCUGAACAAAACAAGUUAAAGAAAGGGGAAAUACACAUGAUAAACUGAUAAUCAGCAAAAAUGAAAAACUUGAACAAAAGAUAACACAUGAUAAACUGAUAAUAAAGCUGAAAUAAACACAACCAAAAAUGAAAACUUUGAACAAAAUACACAUAAAAAGUGCCAAAAUAAACACAUGAUAAAUUUAUAAUAUACAAAACUCUCAAACACCCACAUUCCAAAAAUGAAAAUUUGGAACAAAAAAAUAAAAGAAAUGAGCAGAACACAAACCUGAACUGAAAGUUCAAAUUCAAGAAUUGAGUGCCACGUGGAUUAGGGGAGGUGAUAGUGAAUAUAGAAAUUGAGGAACCAAACAGAGAUUUUUCUGGUAGAAUUUUAGCUUCUGGUUUUUCGCUGGUUUUUAGGACUAGUGUUCAUUGGCUGGUUUGAGGAUCGACUAGAAACAGCCUAUUUGCUC